GAUGAACGCUGGCGGCGUGCCUAAUACAUGCAAGUCGAGCGAAUGGAUUGAGAGCUUGCUCUUAUGAAGUUAGCGGCGGACGGGUGAGUAACACGUGGGUAACCUGCCCAUAAGACUGGGAUAACUCCGGGAAACCGGUGCUAAUACCGGAUAACAUUUUGAACCGCAUGGUUCGAAAUUGAAAGGCGGCUUCGGCUGUCACUUACGGAUGGACCCGCGUCGCAUUAGCUAGUUGGUGAGGUAAAGGCUCACCAAGGCAACGAUGCGUAGCCGACCUGAGAGGGUGAUCGGCCACACUGGGACUGAGACACGGCCCAGACUCCUACGGGAGGCAGCAGUAGGGAAUCUUCCGCAAUGGACGAAAGUCUGACGGAGCAACGCCGCGUGAGUGAUGAAGGUUUUCGGGUCGUAAAACUCUGUUGUUAGGGAAGAACAAGUGCUAGUUGAAUAAGCUGGCACCUUGACGGUACCUACCCAGAAAGCCACGGCUAACUACGUGCCAGCCGCCGCGGUAA
rnacentral:rRNA from 1 species